rnacentral:rRNA from 1 species
CACCGCGGUUAUACGAGAGGCCCAGGUUGACAGCCACCGGCGUAAAGCGUGGUUAAGUUUAAAAUUAAUACUAAAGCCGAAUGAACACAAAGCUGUUAUACGCACUCGAAACCAGAAGCCCAAUUACGAAAGUAGCUUUAUAUUAACUGAACCCACGAAAGCUAGGGCA